UACGGAGGAUCCAAGCGUUAUCCGGAUUCAUUGGGUUUAAAGGGUGCGUAGGCGGAAUGAUAAGUCAGUGGUGAAAUCCUGCAGCUUAACUGCAGAACUGCCUCUGAUACUGUCAAUCUUGAGUACAUUUGAUGUGGGCGGAAUGUGUCAUGUAGCGGUGAAAUGCAUAGAUAUGACACAGAACACCGAUUGCGAAGGCAGCUCACAAAACUGUAACUGACGCUGAGGCACGAAAGCGUGGGGAUCAAACAGG
rnacentral:rRNA from 1 species